rnacentral:lncRNA from 1 species
CAGUGGGGACGUGGCCUCUGGUCAAAGCAGAUGUUCUCAGCAGUAUCUCCUACUAAGGCAACUGACCACAUUGCAGGGCCCCACCCCCUGGGGGAGUUGGACUCAGGUCCUAGUUGCCAGGCAACAGUUCUGAAUAGCUAGAGGAGCAUGGCGGGGGUUGGCGGGAGGACAGGACUUGUGGGAGUAUGUAGGAGUCCUGGAGGAGAGAUGGGGAGGACCUAGGCUUCAGGUCUCUCCAUCUCCAGCUCUCACCACAACUGGAGCCUCACCUCUGUCGGUGCCUGUGGCAUCACCUCAGCUCUUUCUACCUUCUGGAUGGAAGAAAGCUGCAAUACAAUGUGUCACUCUGCUUGUAAUUUACUACUACAAUUCCAUCUUCUUUUUUGGGUUCUCUGCUCCAAGGAGAGGCAUGCAUAAGAAAGGACAAGAACCAACAGCUGCAACUUUGCAACCCUGGGGGGUGGGGAGGAGACUGAACUAAUCCACCACAGAGCUCAUUCAACAUGGGCCCAUAGGAAUAGGGGUCAGGGCUGGGAGAGAAAUUCAGCUCCUCUUGUGUGAGCUUUGGAGGUACAAAAGGACAAUGAGAAGACACAGACUAAGAUUGCUUUCUAUUUCAAAGGAUACCGAUGACUGUGGGAUUGUGUUGUCCUCACCACCAGCAGCUAGGACAUGAAAUAAUUUGUUGUGCAGAGGCCACUGAGAAGUAAAGUGGCCACUGAUGGCAUUCAAGAAAUGAACACCCCUUUUCUGAUCCUCUCCUGGCCACUAUAAAACUGGACAGAUGACCCCCUUAAGAAGAAGAGGCUAGGCUGUUUUGUCCCUGUCUCUGCCACUGGCCUGCUCCCUGGCUUUAGAUAAAUCCCCUCACCACAGGGACCAUAUCUAAUUCCACCUGUGUAUCCCACCUGAGAAGCAGUAUGGUGGAACUGAUAGAGCACAGGGCUGGGAGUCAGAAGGUCCCAGAUUCUAAUCCUGUCUCUGCCUCUUGUCUGCUGUGUGACCUUGGGUAAGUCACUUCACUUCCUCUGUGCCUCAGUUACCUCAUCUGUAAAAUGUGGAUUGAGACUGUGAGCCCCACAUGGGAGAGGGAGUGUGUCCAACCUGAUUUGCUUGUAUCCACCCCAGUGCUUAGGACAGUGCCCGACACAUAGUAAGCAUUUAACAAAUACCAUAAUUAUUAUUCUGUAGCAGUGCUUAAUACAGUGUUCUGCACACAGUAAACACUUAACAAAUGCUAUCACUACAACUAUUAGUUUCCUGUUUGCUUUUCAGUAAAAGAAGGGGGAUGAGGUCUUGAUAAAAAGUAAAACCAAAAAACACCUUGAUGAUAACAAACCCAAUUUCGUCAUCUGCAGGAGGGAAUGACUUAGUUGGUAUCUGUGUAAGGAUUUC